rnacentral:Y_RNA from 1 species
AGCUGGUCUGAGUGCAGUGGUGUUACAACUAAUUGAUCACAACCCAGUUACAGAUUUCUUUGUUCCUUUUCUCAUUCCCACUGCUUCACUUCACUAGCCUAAA